AUGGAGCAAAGGAAAUUAAUGAUACAAAAUAAAUAAACAUAAAGAGGAAAAUCAAUAAACAUAAUACCAAACAAAUGGGAACAGAACAAGUAACUAACCCUAAA